rnacentral:rRNA from 1 species
UGGGGAGUACGGCCGCAAGGCUAAAACUCAAAGGAAUUGACGGGGACCCGCACAAGCGGCGGAGCAUGCUGAUUAAUUCGAUUCAACGCGUAAGAACCUUACCAAGGCUUGACAUACACGAGAACACUCUAGAUAUAGGGAACUCUUUGGACACUCGUGAACAGGUGGUGCAUGGUUGUCGUCAGCUCGUGUCGUGAGAUGUUGGGUUAAGUCCCGCAACGAGCGCUACCCUCGUUCUAUGUUGCCAGCACGUAAUGGUGGGAACUCAUGGGAUACUGCCGGGGUCAACUCGGAGGAAGGUGGGGAUGACGUCAAAUCAUCAUGCCCCUUAUGUCUUGGGCUUCACGCAUGCUACAAUGGCCGGUACAAAGGGCUGCAAUACCGUGAGGUGGAGCGAAUCCCAAAAAGCCGGUCCCAGUUCGGAUUGAGGUCUGCAACUCGACCUCAUGAAGUCGGAGUCGCUAGUAAUCGCAGAUCAGCAACGCUGCGGUGAAUACGUUCCCGGGUCUUGUACACACCGCCCGUCAAGUCAUGAAAGUCGGUAACACCUGAAGCCGGUGGCCCAACCCUUGUGGAGGGAGCCGUCGAAGGUGGGAUCGGUAAUUAGGACUAAGUCGGAACAAGGUAGCCG